CGGCGUGCCUAACACAUGCAAGUCGUACGAGAAAGUUGGCUUCGGCCGAUGAGUAAAGUGGCGCACGGGUGAGUAAUGCGUGGAUAAUCUGCCCUUUAGUUGGGAAUAACGUACCGAAAGGUGCGCUAAUACCUGAUAAUACUGCAUAACUACUGUUGUGUAGUCAAAGAAGGCCUCUGUUUACAAGCUUUUGCUGAAGGAUGAGUCCGCGUACCAUUAGCUGGUUGGUGGGGUAAUGGCCUACCAAGGCUACGAUGGUUAGCUGGUCUGAGAGGAUGAUCAGCCACACUGGAACUGAGACACGGUCCAGACUCCGUACGGGAGGCAGCAGUGAGGAAUAUUGCGCAAUGGGGGCAACCCUGACGCAGCAACGCCGCGUGAGUGAGGAAGGUUUUCGGACCGUAAAGCUCUGUCGAGCGGGAAGAAAUGUAUCAUGGCUAAUAUCCAUGAUACUUGACGGUACCGCUAAAGGAAGCACCGGCUAACUCCGUG
rnacentral:rRNA from 1 species